GUCAAGGACUGAAUCCUGAACGUCUAAAUCCCAAAUGGCUAGAUUCUGACGUCCUGAAUUUGAGUCUAAAUCAAGCUGUAGAGUUAAAAGCUCCAAAACUACUGACUGUCCUCUCUGCACAGUUGAAUAGAAAAUGACAGUCAAGUACUGAAUCUUGAAUGUCUGAAUCCUGCAAGGUCUAAAUCAUGAAUGGCUAGAGUCAAGCUGUGGAGUUAAGAGCUCCAAUACUAUUUACUGUCAUCUCUUUAAAGUCCAACAGAACAUGACGGUCCUGUCAUGAGUCCUGAAUCUGAGUCCUAAGUCAAGCUAAGCAGUUGAGAGCUUCAAUACUACUGACUGCCAUCUCUG